UGUCUUUUUGAAAAUAAUAUAAAGUCUAAUCUGCCCACUGAUUUUAUAUUAAAGGGCUGCAGUAUUUUGACUGUACAAAGGUAGCAUAAUCAUUAGUCAUUUAAUUGAUGACUUGUAUGAAAGAUUGAAUGAAAUAUAAACUGUCUCUUAAUUAUUAGUAUAAAAUUUAAUUUUUUAAUUAAAAAGUUAAAAUAAUUUAAAAAGACGAGAAGACCCUAUAGAGUUUUAUAUUUAAAUUAAUUAAGAUUAUUUAAAAUUUAAAAUUAAAAUUAAUUUAUUUAUUAUAUUGGGGUGAUAGAAAAAUAUAUAUAACUUUUUUUACAUAAAAACAUUUAUAAGUGAUUAAAUGAUCCAAUAAUAUUGAUUAUAAGAAAAAAUUACCUUAGGGAUAACAGCGUAAUUUUUUUUUUUAGUUCACAUAAAAAAAAGAGUUUGCGACCUCGAUGUUGGAUUAAGAUAAAAUUUAAAUGUAGAAG
rnacentral:rRNA from 1 species